rfam:Trichobilharzia regenti genome assembly, scaffold: TRE_scaffold0009959
AUCUGACAGACGAUUCGUAAAUAGGACGAAAUGCGCAUCCUGGAU